UGAUUAUGUGGCAACAUUUUUUGAGAAAAAACCCAUUCCUUAGCUAGAUUUUAUGAACGUGCAGCGGGUAAAUCCCCAAUAAGAAAAUACAUCCGAAAGAUGUCCGAUUAUUGGAACAAAACGCACAAGAUUGAAGAAUCGUCGGGCCAGUUCUCCCGACAGGGAAUGUCAAUGUUUUGGAUUUGAAAAGUUGGCGGCAGCGAGGAUGAAAAAAGUUGACAGAUUGUCAGAUAAAGUUCCGGUUGACCACGUAACAGACGCGCACAAAGAAAGGAGGCAAAUAAAAAGUGACCACGCAGAAAGUGGGCCAGCUAAAGUCCCUAGAGGGAAAAAAGUGCUCUACUCGGGAAGAGAGACUUCUCGGCCACACAAAUCGGCUCAAGGCGACAGCAGCUCAGGGGCGACAGCAGGUUCGCUAAACAACACAAAGGUCGGGACAGAAAAGCGCCAACUGCGCCAAGCGCGUAUCUGCAUUCGAGACUAGCACCAAGGCACAAGGCCUCAAGGCACCCGGUCAGUAGUUCGAGAGCGACAGCAGGUCCAUUGAAAGACGUAAGAGUCAGGAACGAAAAGCGCAACUGCGCCACGCGCUCAUCAGCAUCUUGAACAAGCGCUGUGAGAAGAAGACAAAAAGGGGUCAGAAACGUAAGUUGCCUCUCUGCGCCAAGUCCGACGGAACAACUAACGUCACGCUCCCCUCCGCCAGGGCCCUUUUUUUCUCUAUCCCUUUUCCAUCUUAAGAUCUCAUCGCUCAUCGCUUUCCGAGUGCAUCCAAAUCGGACAUCGUAAGCACAUCUCCGGCUUUGUGCUACCCUGCGAAAUCCGCGGCAGUUAGCAGCUUGGCAAAAUUGAUCGGAAUCCUUCGGCACUUUCAGCUGUCCAUGUGCCGUGGUCGAACGCCAAAGAAUUCCAGCAAGCAGAGUCGGGUGUCAUCAUUCGCAACGCCGGUUGCGAUCAACUGUGGUAGAUCGACAGCUUCUGUCGCAUUGGCUGCGAGGUGUAAACUGUGGCUUUCAAGUUCAACGGGAACCUGCGAGGCAUACGGAGUUCGGUCAGCGGUGUCGUUCGCAGUAUCAGCUGUGGCAUCGGCCACAACCGGGAUCGGAGGAACGUCCUGGCCACAACGGAGGCAGCAUCAGCCGUGGCAUCGGUCACAAACCGAGAUCGGAAGAACGUUCUGGUCACCACGAGGGCAGAGUCAGCGGUGGCAUCGGCCACGAAUAGAGUUUGGAAGAACACAUCGGUCACAACGAAGGCAGCAUCAACUGUGGUACGACCACAACCUAGAAUUGGCGGCAGUAUGUACUGUGGUAACGACCACGCAUUCGCAACGAGGGCAACAAUCGGCUCAAGAUCAACAACAAGGACGAUGGAGCGAGGCGCGACGAGGAUGCCGAGCCCUGUUUUGCGCCAUGCGCCAAAACUGGAAAAGCUGUAAGUGCACGUUUUUCAUUCAAAUCUCAAAAUAGCAUUUUAAGGAAUUUGGGUAUAAUGUUGCCUAAAAAUUAUAAAACUAAAUUGAAAAAUUAAGUACCAUUGAGCAUUAUUUUUUAUGUGGCUCCGACCA